rnacentral:rRNA from 1 species
GGGAAACUUGNGCUAAUACCGUAUGUGCCCUUGGGGGGAAAGAUUUAUCGCGCAUUGGAGCGGCCCGCGUCUGAUUAGCUAGUUGGUGAGGUAAUGGCUCACCAAGGCUACGAUCAGUAGCUGGUCUGAGAGGAUGACCAGCCACAUUGGGACUGAGACACGGCCCAAACUCCUACGGGAGGCAGCAGUGGGGAAUCCUGCGCAAUGGGCGAAAGCCUGACGCAGCCAUGCCGCGUGGAUGAUGAAGGUCUUAGGAUUGUAAAAUCCUUUCACCGGGGACGAUAAUGACGGUACCCGGAGAAGAAGCCCCGGCUAACUUCGUGCCAGCAGCCGCGGUAAUACGAAGGGGGCUAGCGUUGCUCGGAAUUACUGGGCGUAAAGGGCGCGUAGGCGGACAUUUAAGUCGGGGGUGAAAUCCCAGGGCUCAACCCUGGAACUGCCUUCGAUACUGGAUGUCUUGAGUGCGGGAGAGGUGUGUGGAACUCCGAGUGUAGAGGUGAAAUUCGUAGAUAUUCGGAAGAACACCAGUGGCGAAGGCGACACACUGGCCCGUUACUGACGCUGAGGCGCGAAAGCGUGGGGAGCAAACAGGAUUAGAUACCCUGGUAGUCCAC